GCUACCCUGGGCUACUCGCCAGUUGAUUCGUCCUCGAGCCGUAUUUAUACGACAGGGGGCUCUUCGCUGACGUUGUUGAGCAUGUCCGUCCUGGUGCGGAAAGCCUGAUACAUCACUAGAGUCACCCACCUUGAACUUAACGGUUCAAGGCCUUACUCAACAGCGGUAGCACCGGGGAACCU
rnacentral:other from 1 species